GCUUAGGAAUCUGCCUAUUAGUGGGGGACAACAUUCCGAAAGGAAUGCUAAUACCGCAUACGUCCUACGGGAGAAAGCAGGGGAUCUUCGGACCUUGCGCUAAUAGAUGAGCCUAAGUCGGAUUAGCUAGUUGGUGGGGUAAAGGCCUACCAAGGCGACGAUCUGUAGCGGGUCUGAGAGGAUGAUCCGCCACACUGGGACUGAGACACGGCCCAGACUCCUACGGGAGGCAGCAGUGGGGAAUAUUGGACAAUGGGGGGAACCCUGAUCCAGCCAUGCCGCGUGUGUGAAGAAGGCCUUAUGGUUGUAAGGCACUUUAAGCGAGGAGGAGGCUACUGAGACUAAUACUCUUGGAUAGUGGACGUUACUCGCAGAAUAAGCACCGGCUAACUCUGUGCCAGCAGCCGCGGUAAUACAGAGGGUGCGAGCGUUAAUCGGAUUUACUGGGCGUAAAGCGUGCGUAGGCGGCUUUUUAAGUCGGAUGUGAAAUCCCCGAGCUUAACUUGGGAAUUGCAUUCGAUACUGGGAGGCUAGAGUAUGGGAGAGGAUGGUAGAAUUCCAGGUGUAGCGGUGAAAUGCGUAGAGAUCUGGAGGAAUACCGAUGGCGAAGGCAGCCAUCUGGCCUAAUACUGACGCUGAGGUACGAAAGCAUGGGGAGCAAACAGGAUUAGAUACCCUGGUAGUCCAUGCCGUAAACGAUGUCUACUAGCCGUUGGGGCCUUUGAGGCUUUAGUGGCGCAGCUAACGCGAUAAGUAGACCGCCUGGGGAGUACGGUCGCAAGACUAAAACUCAAAUGAAUUGACGGGGGCCCGCACAAGCGGUGGA
rnacentral:rRNA from 1 species